AAGAAAAGCAAUUUAUUUCUACAUGGCUUAGAUAAUGAAUAAUAGAUGUUAUCCAGUGAUUUGGGUUUGUCAUGGCUUUGCUCGGUACUUUCAGAGGCUCUGAAGUUCAAGGCUUGUUAUUGAAAUCCAUUAGGAAGAUGGAAAAUGAGACUGAUGGUCACCGUAGCCACCAGAUCCAGUCUGUAUCCAAGUCAGAGGGUCACUGCAGUCACCCGGAUCCAGUACGUAUCCAGCCCAGAUGGUGGAUCAGCACCUAGAAAGGACCUCUACAACCCUGAAAGACAGUGGAGACCAGGACAACUAGAGCCUCAGAGACAGAUCCCCUGUAAAGACAUUGUCUCAGAUGACCACCGGGACAAGACCACAGGAAACAGAUGAUUCUUCUGCACAAUCUGACUUUGCUGCAGCCUGGAAUUGAUCUGCUGGUUUCGACUGGUCAGAGGAGAACUGGUCCCCCGACUGAGCCUGGUUUCUCCCAAGGUUUUUUCUCCAUUCUGUCAUCGAUGGAGUUUUGGUUCCUUGCUGCUGUCGCCUCUGGCUUGCUUAGUUGGGGACAUUUCAUUUACAGCGAUAUCGUUGACUUGCACAGAUACUAUUUAAACUGAACUGAGCUGCCUGAUGACAUCACUGAAUUCAAUGAUGAAUUGCCUUUAACUGUCAUUUUGCAUUAUUGACACACUGUUUUCCUAAUUAAUGUUGUUCAGUUGCUUUGACGCAAUCUUUUUUGUUUAAAGCGUUAUAAAAAGGUGACUUGACUUGACUUGACUUGAUUUGACGAGAUGUGCAUUAAUCAUCGGCCCAUAUAUACCGUGCACCCCUAACCAUGUCUGCAUUUGUGAUCAGAGAAAUGACAAACAACAAGCGCUACUCUACACUACUCAAAACUCACGUUUGAAUCGAAAAAUUCUUUAAAUAAGUAAAAGUAAUUACAGGUUGCAAGUUAGAAGCGCCAGACUGUCUUUGCAAAGUUGGAAUUGCCCCACUUUAUAGAAACAGACACUGGCAUUGUAGGCUAUUCUUCCAGGAAACAGUCCUCUGCCCACAUCUGAAUAUUUGGGUUGAACUGUUCUGGAACGGUGGAACAACAUAGAUGUGGGGGCGUGUUAAAAUGAGUCAUUUUAGGAGGGCGUGGUUGACUUUUAACUUUUAUAAAGAAUAAUGAAUUUGAGACUUGAGUCUUUGCAACUUUACAGAUCUUCAUUAUGCACCAAGAGCUUGUAACACUCCAAAGAGAAAGGAAUAAUUUAAAUUGCAUCAUAUGACCCCUUUAAGCAAUUGAUAGCAAAAUUUUGAAAGAAAUAGUACAGCACCUUAAAUCAACCUGCUAUCUUGACACACUUCCCACAUCUUUUUUCAAAAGUGUGCUUAACUGUUUAGAAGCAGAUCU
ensembl:lncRNA